AUUGAACGCUGGCGGCAUGCCUUACACAUGCAAGUCGAACGGUAGCGGGCCUUCGGGUGCCGACGAGUGGCGAACGGGUGAGUAAUGUAUCGGAACGUACCUUUCAGUGGGGGAUAACGUAGCGAAAGUUACGCUAACACCGCAUAUUCUGUGCGCAGGAAAGCAGGGGAUCGCAAGACCUUGCGCUGAUUGAGCGGCGGAUAUCAGAUUAGCUAGUUGGUGGGGUAAAGGCUCACCAAGGUGACGAUCUGUAGCGGGUCUGAGAGGAUGAUCCGCCACACUGGAACUGAGACACGGUCCAGACUCCUACGGGAGGCAGCAGUGGGGAAUUUUGGACAAUGGGGGCAACCCUGAUCCAGCCAUGCCGCGUGAGUGAAGAAGGCCUUCGGGUUGUAAAGCUCUUUCGGCCGGGAAGAAAUCGCAUGGGCUAAUACCCUGUGCGGAUGACGGUACCGGCAUAAGAAGCACCGGCUAACUACGUGCCAGCCGCCGCCGUAAAAC
rnacentral:rRNA from 1 species